rnacentral:rRNA from 1 species
CACGUAGGGCGCGAGCGUUGUCCGGAAUUAUUGGGCGUAAAGAGCUCGUAGGCGGCCUGUUGCGUCCGCUGUGAAAGCCCGGGGCUUAACCCCGGGUCGGCAGUGGAUACGGGCAGGCUAGAGUGCGGUAGGGGAGAUUGGAAUUCCUGGUGUAGCGGUGGAAUGCGCAGAUAUCAGGAGGAACACCGAUGGCGAAGGCAGAUCUCUGGGCCGUAACUGACGCUGAGGAGCGAAAGCAUGGGGAGCGAACAGG